CACACACACACACACACACACACACACACACACACACACACUCACUCUCCGUGUUGUCAAGUGUUUAAAAUCAUUUGAGACGACAAGGCAUAAAAACUGAAGUAUAAUAUUUGAAUGGCAAUACACGACCCUAUUGUAGGAUAUAUACCAAGGCUGCUUAAGAUAUAUGAUUAAUAGUUAUCCUUACAAACUUAGCCUAUCACAUUGUUAGUCUCUGUUGUGAAUAAUUUAGGGGUUUUGGUUUUGUCUUUCACAUAGGGAUAACUUUACUCUCUGGAUUGUGUAGAUAAAGAAAUCGCCUAAUUCCAAAAUUACUAGAUGAACCUAAUACCUUGACCAAGAAUAAGUUAGCAAUACAAAUGACUACAUAAGAUAAAUUCAGUAACAUAUUUGGAAUUUGACUCAUUUAUAUAUUAGAGGGACUCUCAUAACUCAUCACCAAAUUUCUAUUCAAUGUGUUUUGAGUAUAAAUGUAAAAAGAAAAUUUCCUGACUAAAGACAUGCAGAAAAUUAUUCCAAAUAGUGAUGUUUUGAUAAAAAUAAGGAGUGAAUAUAUUUGGGAACAUAGAAUGAAACACUGACAAUCAUAUAGAAUGGGAAAUGUGCAAAGCAGUAAUGCUAAAUGGACUGGGGUGGUAACUGGCAACAAACUCAGAUGAGCAUGUAAGGUGAGGGGUGCAGAAAAAAAGGCAAAAAGACUUUAGGUAGAAGACUAAGCAAAGAAGUCACAUGAUAGGCUGGGAAGAACACAGGCCAGUCUGUUUAUGUCUCCUUGGUGAAAACACUUCUGGACCAGUACACCUGAUCUCAGGAUUUCAAUGCAAUGAAGACGUUGAAAAACAAAGGAAGUCAAGCAUGAAAGCAGAAGUCAUCAUAAGGACCUGCCAGAUUGAUUUAUGAGGCCUGAAUGGCACAAUCACCACCUAAAUAUAUGCAUAUAUGUGAGUGUCUCUUGCAGAAACCCAGUGAUUAUCAAAAUAACUAGAGUUUUCUUUGUAUUUGUGUUGUGAGAAAUAAGCAUUUAUUACUUAAUAGGCUUAAGUAAGAUCCUGUGCCUUGAAAAGAAGAUUAUUUUGUCAUCAGGCAGGUCCUUUCAAAAAAAACAAAAAUACGUGCAAUUCUCACGCAGUUUUCAAAUUCAAGUUCAUUUGUAAUAAACUGAGGAGACUGUAGUUCUAAAAACAAAUGGUUAAUAGUGGCAAUAUAGUGGUAAUAGAAAUGAAAUAUAACCUUAACUGAUAAAUAACUAUAGUUUUUGCUGGGCUUAUUCUUGGCGAAUAGCCCAAGUUCAGGGCUUGAAAUUUUUAAUAAAUGUACUAAUAUCUUAAAUGGAGAGUUGACUAAUAACCUCAGGAGAAGAAAGGUAAUGGAAUGGAAAAGAGAAUUUUUUAAAAAAAAUAGCUAAAGGGUGAGAUGUGCCCAUCCAGUGACAUCGUUUCUUAGAAAAGGUAAGAUAUUGAACUAAUUUAUCAUUGGGAAAGUGCUUAAAUUACCUUUUUUACUUCAAAAAAAACCCUGCUUAUUAUAAGCCACCAAUUACUGAAAUUGUUAUAUAAACAUAUAAAGGAAAUAUGAAUAUUUUAAAUAUAGGAUAAAAAUAGUCCUUGCUAGAGAUACUACUGACUCAAAAGGCUAUGUCUAUACAAAUAUUAUAUAAGAAAUAGCUUUAAACACCUUAAUGUCAUCAACUGACAUCUUGGCGUUUUUCUUUUUUUUGUAGAGACAGAGUUUCGCUCUGUUGGCCAGGCUGGUCUUGAACUCCUGGUAUCAUGUAAUCUAGCCACCUCAGUGCCAGGAUUACAGGCAUGAGCCACUAUGCCCAGCUGGCAUUUUAUAGUGAACCUCAAAAAAAGUCAACAGCAAACUUGAAGAAUAUUGGAAUAUAGAUGUCUCAAAAAUGAUUGCCUUUUAUUUAUAAAUGUGUUUUAGAAUUAUUUUCUAAACGUGAAUUAUUUUCUAUUUGAAAAUAAUUACCUAUAAAUUGUAUAAAGAAAAGUAAUAGGCAAACACACAACUUAUAAAACUAUUUUAAUGAUUGUGGUUCCACAUAUAUUUAUGCUUGAGUUUAUGGGAAGUGUUUUGAAAUUCAUACAGAACAUGGAAAAAAAUGUUAUAGGACACAAGAUUCAAAUUGAGGUCAUCCAAGUUAUAAA